rnacentral:rRNA from 1 species
AUAAGUUGCUGCAGUUAAAAGCUCGUAGUUGGAUCUGGGCCGUGUUGCGAUUGCUGGUUUCGCCGAGCGUGCAUUCGUGCGCGUGUAGGUGGGCCAGUCUAUUCGGACCGGCUUCGUAGCUGUGUCUUGUUGCCUCUCGGGGCGGCGAGAUGAUGGUGGACGUCUGUGAUGAUUCCUUUCGGGGGAUUGUUGCGGUUCAUCAUUAUGUCCUGUUAAUGCCCUUAACCGGGUGUUCGGGACUCGCAGCACGUUUACUUUGAACAAAUUUGAGUGCUCAAAGCAGGCCAUUGUUGCCUGAAAAUUCUUGCAUGGAAUAAUGAAAUAGGACUUUGGUCUUAUUUUGUUGGUUUGAAAGAACCAAAGUAAUGAUAAAGAGAGACUGACGGGGGCAUUUGUAUGGCGGCGCUAGAGGUGAAAUUCGUGGACCGUCGCCAGACAACCUAAAGCGAAAGCAUCUGCCAAGUAUGUUUUCAUUUACCAGGAGCGAAAGUCAGAGGUUCGAAGACGAUCAGAUACCGUCCUAGUUCUGACCAUAAACGAUGCCAACUGACGAUCCGUGGGUACUCUUAAAUGAGACCACGGGCAGUCCCCGGGAAACCUGUAAGUCUAUGGGUUCCGGGGAAAGUAUGGUUGCAAAACUGAAACUUAAAGGAAUUGACGGAAGGGCACCACCAGGAGUGGAGCUUGCGGCUUAAUUUGACUCAACACGGGAAAACUCACCCGACCCGGACACUGGGAGGAUAGACAGAUUGAUAGCUCUUUCUUGAUUCAGUGGCUAGUGGUGCAUGGCCGUUCUUAGUUCGUGGUACGAGCUGUCUGGUUAAUUCCGAUAACGAACGAGACUCUAACCUGCUAAAUAGUACGUAUGCAAUCUUUAUGCGGAUUACCGUCCUGGUGCUUCGGUGCCGGGAUGGUGCCGCAUAGGCAGGUGGAAACUUCUUAGAGGAACUGGCGCUCGAAAAGGCGCACGAGAAAGAGCAAUAACAGGUCUGUGAUGCCCUAAGAUGUCCGGGGCCGCACGCGUGCUACAAUGACGAUGUCCAUGAGCAUGAUUAACUUGUCUGUAAAGGCCGGUGAAACUGUUCAAUCAUCGUCGUGCCUGGGAUUGGGGUUUGUAAUUAUUCCCCAUGAACCAGGAAUUCCUAGUAAGCACAAGUCACUAGCUUGUGCUGAUUACGUCCCUGCCCUUUGUACACACCGCCCGUCGCUACUACCGAUUGAAUGGUUUAGCAAGGCCAUUGGAUUGGGCUUUUGCGGUUUGCGCUGCAGUGCCCGAGAAGAC